rnacentral:rRNA from 1 species
AUGGAGAGUUUGAUCCUGGCUCAGGACGAACGCUGGCGGCGUGCUUAACACAUGCAAGUCGAGCGAGGCUCCACUCUUCGGAGCGGAUGCCCUAGCGGCGAACGGGUGAGUAACACGUGGGCAACCUGCCCCUAGCACUGGGAUAACCCCGGGAAACCGGAGCUAAUACCAGAUA